ACUCUCCGAGUCGCACCUGGAGAGUUUCCAGUAUUCUACCAGUCUUGACUACGGGAGGGAGAGUCAAGCAGAGGCAUAUCCAUUCCAUUCCUAGCUUGGGCAGUGGCUAGUGAGUGGAAGGUCAUCUGCUACAAGU
rnacentral:snoRNA from 1 species